rnacentral:rRNA from 1 species
AAUGAACGCUGGCGGCGCGCCUAAUACAUGCAAGUCGAGCGAGAAGACGUAGCAAUACGUUUGUAAAGCGGCGAACGGGUGAGGAAUACAUGGGUAACCUACCCUCGAGUGGGGAAUAACUAGCCGAAAGGUUAGCUAAUACCGCGUACGCUCCUUGGACUUCGGUUCAGGGAGGAAAGCGAUACCGUGGGUAUCGCGCUCUUGGUUGGGCUCAUGUCCUAUCAGCUUGUUGGUGAGGUAACGGCUCACCAAGGCUUCGACGGGUAGCUGGUCUGAGAGGACGAUCAGCCACACUGGCACUGCGACACGGGCCAGACUCCUACGGGAGGCAGCAAGUAAGGAAUAUUGCGCAAUGGGCGAAAGCCUGACGCAGCCGACG